CUGAGAGUUGCUUUUCAGCACUUUCUGCCCAUGUAUUUGUUCAGCAAAUUCUCUGAUUCCUAAGCCAGGAGCCAUCCCGUGAGGCCGUUACUGCAAACAAGCUGAAAAUCCUGCUUUGUUUCUUUUGGACACAACAUGCUUUCCUUCAGCUUCAGUAGACGAUGAGGCCAGCACCACAUGGGCUAGAUGUACAUGAGAUGUGAGCAACCACACUUCCCCUCUGACGGGGACAGACAGCAUCACAGGCUGAGCUCUGAAACUUCUCCUGGCAGUUCAAGAGAGCGAUGGAGGGAAUGCUGGGGCACAUCUAAAUAAAGCCUCCAAGUGGGAGUUCCUGCUCAGCUAUGCAUGAGCUCUUUGUGACUUCAUCUCCCAGCCUACAACUUGUGAAAUAAGCACGACUUCACUCAGAGCACAGCCAGAAACAUACAAACUUUCCA
rnacentral:lncRNA from 1 species